rnacentral:rRNA from 1 species
UACGUAGGGUGCAAGCGUUGUCCGGAAUUAUUGGGCGUAAAGAGCUCGUAGGCGGUCUGUCGCGUCGAAUGUGAAACCCCGAGGCUCAACCUCGGGUCUGCAUUCGAUACGGGCAGACUAGAGUUCGGUAGGGGAGUCUGGAAUUCCUGGUGUAGCGGUGAAGUGCGCAGAUAUCAGGAAGAACACCUAUGGCGAAAGCAGCUCUCUGGGACGGUACUGACGCUGAGACGCGAAAGCGUGGGGAGCGAACAGG